GAAGUCCACCAACGAAAAGGAUGUUUGAUUCCCGAGAUGAAUUUGGAUCACAUUCAGUAGUUCUGAGACUGAGAGAAUUGGCCCUUUCAUGACCUAUGUCGGCCAUACCCAUCACUCCUGGACUACUGCCCACUACAAUAUCUUGUCUUUGACUUGCUAACGAAUCUUCGAAAGGAGAUGUGUACCCUUUUGCACUCCCUCCGGAU
rnacentral:misc_RNA from 1 species